GAGCAAUAAAUUUCUAUUUUUUAUAAAUUACCCAAUCUAAGAUAUUUUGUUACAGCAACCUGAAUAGACUAAGACAGUCCCACAGAGUUUAGCAAUGACUCCAAAGAAAGGAGGGAAUGCAAGUUGACUGAGGUUAAUGUUGGUCAGGAUCAUUUAUUCCCUAUCCCUGAAGUUUUCUUCCUUGUAGAGAGUAACAGUUUUGGCCUCUCUCUGCCUCUUCACCAGGCACUGAUUUGCCUGAUUGGUGAGUUUGGGAUAAAGAAUAACGUGCUACUUCUAGAACAUUUUGAAAAUAUAUUCCCUUUUCUUUCUUCCAUGCAUACAUGGCCUGUUUGUUUUUCAGGUCUUUUUCAUUUCUUCCCUAGAUGAUUUCAACAUAGGGAAUAUAGCUUCCUCCCUGUCCAUCACACCUUUCCCCUCAAUCUAUCCACCAUGCUUCUGUCAAAAUUAUCUUUCUAUAACAAAAAUUUGUUCUGUUGCCCCCUUGCUACUCUUCAGUAGUUCCCAGCACCUUCUGCUACCUGAGCCCUUGGGCUUCCUUCCAGCCUCAUUUCUCAUUCGCAGCGGUCACUCCAGAAUACUGUUCUUCCUGUCUGGGAAGCUUCUCCUGCCUCAUCACCACAUCAGAUUCCUUUUCAUCCAUCAGGUCUCCACUCUCACUUCACCUCUUUGGUGAAGAUCUCCAUGACACAUGUUGCCUUCCCCAUGCACAGGGCUGGCACUCUAUACAUGUUGUGCCUGCAUUUUUACGUACCUGCCCAGCCCCUCUUCCCACUAGGAGUGGUGGAGCAAGAACCUCCACCCCAAGAGUUGCUUAUCCGUUUGUCCACUCAUCAUGUUACUAUAUUUACUGAUUUAUUUUUAUCUAGUGAGCUGGGUUACUGAGUCUUAGAGGCUUGAAAUCUAUUCUUUUCUCUUUCUCCACAUGAUAAUGAAAAUUGGAACUCUGGUUAAUGCAAUCUAUUCUCUCUCACUGUGGCUGUUCCACUGAACAUCAGCAACUAGCUGUUUCCUGCUUCUGGCACAGGAAGACAAAUCAAAUGAAAAAGAAAAUGAGGUUGGAAUGUGUCCCCCCAUAAUUGGUAUGUUGAAGUCCUAAAAUUGGAGUUAUGUUGCCACAAGCCCAGGAACUACCAGGAGCUGGGAGAGCACCUGGAACAGAACCUUCCCUGGGGCCUUCAGAGGGAGCACAGCUCUGCUGACACCUUGA